rnacentral:tRNA from 1 species
GGCUCGUUAGCUCAGUGGCAAGAGCAGCCCCCUGUCCAGGGGAAGGUCGAGGGUUCAAUUCCCUCACGAGCCGCCA